rnacentral:tRNA from 1 species
GGGGUUGUAGUUAAAAUAUAACAGUUAAUUUGCAAUUAACAAUUACUUAUUAUUAGUCCUCCUCA